rnacentral:pre_miRNA from 1 species
GAAUGUUGUAGAUGGUAGUGGUGGUGGUGACGAUGAUUGCGAUGAUGAUCAUCAUCAUCAUUGUCAUCAUCAUCACUAUGAUGAUGG